CAAGUUGACGGAGCACGCCGCGUGAGUGAUGAAGGUUUCGGAUCGUAAAACUCUGUUGUUAGGGAAGAACAAGUGCAUAGUAACUGAUGGCACCUUGACGGUACCUAACCAGAAAGCCACGGCUAACUACGUGCCAGCAGCCGCGGUAAUACGUAGGUGGCAAGCGUUGUCCGGAAUUAUUGGGCGUAAAGCGCUCGCAGGCGGUUCUUUAAGUCUGAUGUGAAAUCUUACGGCUCAACCGUAAACGUGCAUUGGAAACUGGGGAACUUGAGUGCAGAAGAGGAGAGUGGAAUUCCACGUGUAGCGGUGAAAUGCGUAGAGAUGUGGAGGAACACCAGUGGGGCGAAGGCGACUCUCU
rnacentral:rRNA from 1 species